AUUUUCAGACUGAAAGAACAAGACUGAAGUGGGACAGACCUGAAUCCUCUAAAUUCCCAAUCUGAGAUAUCUUUACAUGGUUUAAGAUUUAGGGUUUACAUAUUGAGCGACUUUUGAUCUUUGACAUGGUGAUGGAUAUGGGCGUGGUGUCACUGUCCUCGCUGCCGUUGGGGUUUAGAUUCAGGCCGACGGAUGAGGAGCUUAUAGAGUUUUAUUUGAGGUCCAAGAUCAAUGGCCGUGAUAAGGAAGUCAGCGUUAUUCGGGAGAUUGAUGUUUGCAGAUGGGAGCCCUGGGAUUUGCCUGAUUUAUCAGUGAUACAGACGCAGGAUCCGGAAUGGUUCUUCUUCUGUCCACAGGACAAGAAGUACCCAAAUGGGUUCAGGUUGAACAGGGCUACAAUAGCAGGGUACUGGAAGGCUACUGGUAAAGAUCGUAGAAUCAAGUCCGGAGCAAACUUGGUUGGAAUGAAGAAGACCCUCGUCUUCCAUAAGGGGCGUGCUCCCAAGGGUAAGAGGACCAAUUGGGUUAUGCAUGAGUACCGUGCUACGCAGAAGGAGCUUGAUGGCACUAAUCCUGGCCAGAGUCCGUUUGUCCUCUGUCGCCUGUUUAAAAAACAAGAUGAGAGUAUCGAAAUUUCAAACUGUGAUGAAACUGAACCAGCUGUAUCCUCCCCUAGCAUUGUCAAAUCUCCUCUUGAAGACACACAGUCUGCUCAAACACUGGUUCCACCAUCACCAUCAUGUCAAAUGCAACCUAAAAAGCUUCAUACUGGAGCAGAAUGCAUCAAUGCUGAUAAUUAUGAUGGGAUGACAUCAGACCCUUUACCAAUUAGUGAGUGCCCUAGCAACAGCUGCAAUGAUUAUGAUGGACCAGAUCAACUGGAUCUGCCGCUUGAGGAAUAUUUAAGCAGAUUUUAUGACCCCCAGGAAGAGCCACCAUUUUCCCCAUUGCACUCACAAUUGGAAGUUGAGCAUUGUUACCCUGGUAGCAAUGGCUUUAACAAUGGUCAUAAAGGGGUGCAAUUACCAAAUGACAGCAUUGAGCAAGAUGCAGAAGUUUCUGAGUUCCUGAGCACAAUAUUCAACUGUUCGGAGGAGUACUCCUUUGAAGAUUUGGAUACUCUAAGUUCCGCAAUUGAAAGUGAGACCAAGAAUGUUGUCCCCUUUAAGGACUAUGGAUCAUGCAAUGCUGCAGACCCAAAUCUGAAUGAUGUACUGUUUAUGGCCGAGCUUCAAACUCCUGUUUCAUUGGAGGGGAAUGUCGACAGAAAGGGUCCCAUCACUCCCAUGCAGAUUGCAACAACUCCGCAGAAUUAUGAACAAUCCUCAAAGGUUGAGGUAUCAAGCAAUCAUUCAAAUUCACUUCCAAGUGCUGGCACUGGGAUUAGGAUUAUGACUCGCCAAACACCUUCAACUAGCACCUUAAGACCGAGUAUUAUGACACAGGGUGAAGCACCAAGACGAAUAAUGUAUCAAAGUAAACUUCAAAUAGGGUCAAUUCAAUGCAGGAAUGUUUCUAAAAACCUGCAUUAUAGACCAGAAGACCAUGAAAGGAAACUAAUCGCUGUGGAGGAGACACGAGAUUCAGAAAAGAAAGCUAGUAGUGAUGCUGCUUUCCAUGCUGGUAAUGCUUUGGAUGAACCCCCGGAGACACUCAUUGUUGAGUCCAGUGACCAGACUAUUUCCGCAACACCAAAUAUCACAUCACUAGGCAGCAUUUUGACAGGCAAAGCGAUCCCUUCUGUGGUCUUGAAGGCUUCUCCUGCUGGCCAUUCUAUUUGGUCAUUUGCGUUUAUGAUUAGACUAGUUGUGGGUGCAUUUUUGUUCAUAGUAUUUGCUAGCAUGUGGGGAUUUCAUAAGUUUUGAAGCUGCUGGAAGACCUUUCGCCGUGCAUUUGGCCGGAGACCCCAAAUUUUUGAGAGGGGUGCUUUGAUAGGCUUAUAGGAUUUAGUAUCUUUAAAUUUUGUGUAGUAGUCUAUCGUGUAUGUUCAGCCGCAAAGUUCUUUUGUUCGAUAAAUAAAGAUAUGAACUUCAG